CUAAGCGGAGGAAAAGAAACUAACCAGGAUUUCCCUAGUAGCGGCGAGCGAACAGGAAAGAGCCCAGCACCGAAUCCCGCGGUUCCGCCGCAGGGAAAUGUGGUGUUUGGGAGGGUCCGCUUAUCCCGAGGCGCCGCGUCGCGUCCAAGUCCAUCUUGAAUGGGGCCACUUACCCGCAGAGGGUGCCAGGCCCGUAGCGACCGAUGCCCGUCUCGGGAGGAUCUCUCCUUAGAGUCGGGUUGCUUGAGAAUGCAGCUCUAAGUGGGUGGUAAACUCCAUCUAAGGCUAAAUACGACCACGAGACCGAUAGCGAACAAGUACCGUGAGGGAAAGUUGAAAAGAACUUUGA
rnacentral:rRNA from 2 species